GUUGCUUCAUCUGGUGAACCCUCCUUAUUCUCCAUGGGAAUGUUCUUGUUUCCGAAGCAUAUAUAAAUAAAUUUUCUUUGAAUAACCAGUUUUAAACAGCGUGGUGUAAUUUUUUUUAAUCUACACUAUGCUACCUGUCUACUGGUACAUAA
rfam:Cajanus cajan CcLG05_136, whole genome shotgun sequence.